UACGGGGGGGGGCAAGCGUUGUUCGGAAUUACUGGGCGUAAAGGGCUCGUAGGCGGCCAACUAAGUCAGACAUGAAAUCCCUCGGCUUAACCGGGGAACUGCGUCUGAUACUGGAUGGCUUGAAUCCGGGAGAGGGAUGCAGAAUUCCAGGUGUAGCGGUGAAAUGCGUAGAUAUCUGGAGGAAUACCGGUGGCGAAGGCGGCAUCCUGGACCGGCAUUGACGCUGAGGAGCGAAAGCCAGGGGAGCAAACGGG
rnacentral:rRNA from 1 species